rnacentral:tRNA from 1 species
GCGCCGUUAGUAUAGUGGUAGUACGCUGCCUUGCCAAGGCUGUAGCCCGAGUUCGAAUCUCGGACGGCGCA